GAGUCCAAAGGCGAAGGAAGACCAAUGCCCCCGGCGAAGACGGUCGGGCAGAAGAGCGGCUUCUCUCCAGCUCAGGACUCACAAGGCGGGCGCUGGUCCUGUCAUUGGUCCUGCUUUCUGCUAAAAUCCCUUUUACAGCUUUCUUUCCUUGUCAGGCCUGUGUGCUCGGGGAGGGGACGUCAGUGACCAUAUUUGUGUGUGCAGACGUCAUGCACACAUAGCCUCGAGUGUGGGUUUGGACAUGUGCGUUCAUAUGUGUAUUCUGUGUGUGUCUUGUGUGUGUUUAUCUGUGGGUGGCUCUUUGUGUCUCUGUGUUGUGUGUGUGUGUUGCUCUCUCUUCCAUGGAUGUGUGUGUCUAUGUUUCACACUGGAGAGAGGGUGCAAGAGAAAGAAAAUAUGGUAUCUGCUCCCAAGAAGCCUCUAGCAUAAUUAAGGAGAAAAAUCAAACAUACUGAAGUGCUCGGGUAAGAGAGAGGACUGUGAAAAGUUCAGUCACGUGACCUAGCCAGCCCCGGUGCUGGACGUGGACCAGACGGCUGGUGGACCUCAUCAGGCUCCAUCAGUUGGCAGCUGGGAUCACACCCAACAGACCGAACCUCAGCUUCCUCGUCUGCACUAUGGGGCACACGGGGGGUCUCCAGUGAGAAUCUCCUGAAAUGCCAGAUCCUGGCCCAUGGAGGUUAGGAGAGGGCCAGAGGUUAGGAGAGUCGGUCUCGGAUAGGGUUCUGAGAAAAGGAGAUGCCAGUGAGCCAGAGCACUCCGGAAGGCCUUCUGGAGCAGGCCAUGAUUGCCCGCAUCCUGGAGAAUUCCUCGCAAAGCAGGGUAUGGCUGGGGAAGGCCAUGAGGAGAAACAGGCUGAUGAGAUCAUUUCUCCAUUGAACCAAGUCCCAUUGUUUCAAACCCGAUGAGGAUGCGCCCCUUCAGGAUAACACGGAGCAUCCUUCAGAGCUACCCAGAUCCUCCCACCAGCCUCCCUCUUGGCCCCAUCUGCUCCCAGCAGGGAGCAUGGCCCGGCCCUCCUCCCUGAACCAGCCACUUUUCUGUCCUGGUGUCUGCACUUCCAUCACAGAAGCCCUGAUCCUCCUUUGCACAGCUGCAGGGGCCAGGACUGAGGAAGGCCGGAAGAAGUGCCUUCCCAAGGAAAGGAGAAAAUAAAUGUCCUCAUGAAAAGGAGCAGAGCAGUGCUCUCAUUUGUCUGUGAAGUCUCGUGCAUAGAGAGUUUUAUCAGCCAUGAAAUUAGCCCUUCAUGCUCCACACCACAGCCCAGUGAGGACUGGGGGGCGCUCGGCGCUUCCGUGAGCCCCAGGGACGCUGCUCCCGCCCAGCCCCCCUGCUGCCCUUGGUGGAUUUAAAACGCAGCCUGCUCUGUGGCUGCAAAUACCGUGGGCCAGGCCACACGCAGCCCUCAGAGCACAGCGCAGAACAAGGACACGGCAGCCUGGCCCUGUGCUCCGCUGGCCCUGGCUCAGCCGGAGGAAACGGAGAGCGACUUCUGCAGAAGACACUGUCCAUCCCAGGGUUCCAGCAUCAUGCACGUUAACUACUGACACAGCCGAGCCGAGCCUUGUUGGACUGUGGGAUGACAGCGUGAGGCGGUAGGAAACACACAGACUUUACAGAAAAACCUGGGCUUAAACCCUGGCUGCCCUGCCAAAUGAAUGUGACCCUGGACAAGUUCCUGUACCUCUCUGAGCCUUGGCUUCUUCAUCUCUUCAAUGGGCAUCACAGCACCCACUCUGCAGGCGGAGAGAAUUAGACUAGCAACGCGAGGGCUCAAUGGCGGUGUGUCUGCAUGCUGGGUGCCUGCAGGCCCCCUUCAAGGGACCACCUGAGCCUCGGGAGGCCUGGGGAUGGGCCUCACCUCAGGGCUGUCAUGUUGCCUUCACAUGCACA
ensembl:lncRNA